rnacentral:rRNA from 1 species
UGUACGGAAUCCUUUAGAGAUAGAGGAGUGCUCGAAAGAGAGCCGUAACACAGGUGCUGCAUGGCUGUCGUCAGCUCGUGUCGUGAGAUGUUGGGUUAAGUCCCGCAACCGAGCGCAACCCUUGUCAUUAGUUGCUACAUUCAGUUGGGCACUCUAAUGAGACUGCCGGUGACAAACCGGAGGAAGUGGGGAUGACGUCAAGUCCUCAUGGCCCUUAUAGGUGGGGCUACACACGUCAUACAAUGGAUGGUACAAAGGGUCGCCAACCCGCGAGGGGGAGCCAAUCCCAUAAAGCCAUUCGUAGUCCGGAUCGCAGUCUGCAACUCGACUGCGUGAAGUCGGAAUCGCUAGUAAUCGUGGAUCAGAAUGUCACGGUGAAUACGUUCCCGGGUCUU